AGUGAACGCUGGCGGUAGGCCUAACACAUGCAAGUCGAACGGCAGCACAGUAAGAGCUUGCUCUUACGGGUGGCGAGUGGCGGACGGGUGAGGAAUACAUCGGAAUCUACUUUUUCGUGGGGGAUAACGUAGGGAAACUUACGCUAAUACCGCAUACGACCUACGGGUGAAAGCAGGGGAUCUUCGGACCUUGCGCGAUUGAAUGAGCCGAUGUCGGAUUAGCUAGUUGGCGGGGUAAGGGCCCACCAAGGCGACGAUCCGUAGCUGGUCUGAGAGGAUGAUCAGCCACACUGGAACUGAGACACGGUCCAGACUCCUACGGGAGGCAGCAGUGGGGAAUAUUGGACAAUGGGCGCAAGCCUGAUCCAGCCAUACCGCGUGGGUGAAGAAGGCCUUCGGGUUGUAAAGCCCUUUUGUUGGGAAAGAAAAGCAGCAGGUUAAUACCCCGCUGUUCUGACGGUACCCAAAGAAUAAGCACCGGCUAACUUCGCG
rnacentral:rRNA from 1 species